rnacentral:rRNA from 1 species
AGCGAACGCUGGCGGCAGGCCUAAUACAUGCAAGUCGAACGGCUUCUUCGGAAGCAGUGGCGGACGGGUGAGUAACGCGUGGGAACGUGCCCUUUGGUACGGAACAACUGAGGGAAACUUCAGCUAAUACCGUAUGUGCCCUUCGGGGGAAAGAUUUAUCGCCAUUGGAGCGGCCCGCGUUAGAUUAGCUAGUUGGUGGGGUAAAGGCCUACCAAGGCAACGAUCUAUAGCUGGUCUGAGAGGAUGAUCAGCCACACUGGGACUGAGACACGGCCCAGACUCCUACGGGAGGCAGCAGUAGGGAAUCUUGCGCAAUGGGCGAAAGCCUGACGCAGCCAUGCCGCGUGAAUGAUGAAGGUCUUAGGAUUGUAAAAUUCUUUCACCGGGGACGAUAAUGACGGUACCCGGAGAAGAAGCUCCGGCUAACUUCGUG